GCCCGGGUGGCGGAAUUGGUAGACGCGCAUGAUUCAGGGUCAUGUAUUCGUAAGGAUGUGCAAGUUCGAGUCUUGUUCCGGGCA
rnacentral:tRNA from 1 species